rnacentral:rRNA from 1 species
ACAGAGGUCCCAAGCGUUGUUCGGAUUCACUGGGCGUAAAGGGUGCGUAGGUGGCAAGGUAAGUCUGAUGUGAAAUCUUCGAGCUCAACUCGGAAACUGCAUCGGAAACUAUCUGGCUUGAGGAUUGGAGGGGGGACUGGAAUUCUCGGUGUAGCAGUGAAAUGCGUAGAUAUCGAGAGGAACACCAGUGGCGAAGGCGAGUCCCUGGACAAUUCCUGACACUGAGGCACGAAAGCUAGGGGAGCAAACAGG